rnacentral:rRNA from 1 species
GAUGAACGCUGACAGAAUGCUUAACACAUGCAAGUCGAUGGGGAAGUGGUGCUUGCACCAUGGUAACCAUGGCGGACGGGUGAGUAACGCGUAAGGAACUUGCCUGCGGGACUGGGAUAACAGCAGGAAACUGCUGAUAAUACCGGAUAAGGUCAUUAAGCUGCAUAGCUUAGUGAUGAAAGGAGACGCCUGCGGAGAGCCUUGCGUCCUAUUAGCUAGUUGGAGGGGUAACGGCCCACCAAGGCGAAGAUAGGUAGCCGGCCUGAGAGGGUGGACGGCCACAAGGGGACUGAGAUACGGCCCUUACUCCUACGGGAGGCAGCAGUGGGGAAUAUUGGACAAUGGGGGCAACCCUGAUCCAGCAAUUCUGUGUGCACGAAGACGGUUUUCGGAUUGUAAAGUGCUUUCAGCAGGGAAGAAGGAAGUGACGGUACCUGCAGAAGAAGCGACGGCUAAAUACG